CCUCAUCCGCGCAACAAAUCAGGGUCGCCGGAGCUUUCUCACACACAUCACACUGGAUCUUCAUGUCUUCUCAGUAUUGAACAACUUCACUUCCUUUCUCAGUUUCUCUGUUCGAUUCUAGUGAUCUCCCCUGAAAUGAUAGUAGAACAGUCACCAACACUAGUAGACAGGUGAGGCCUUGCAAUAAAACUUACCCGGGAAAUAUACUAAAACCCAGAAAGAAAGAAGUCUUUCCCAGGAAAGUUUUGCAAAACCCUGGACGGAAAAUCCAGAGAGAGAGAGAGAGAGA